AUCGCUUCUCAGCCUUUUGGCUAAGAUCAAGUGUAGUAAUCAUGAUCUGGCCAAGAAUAAAUCCCCUGUGGAUACUAUGGGGUCUUCUCUAUAAAAGAGACAUUUUCUCACUGAGUUUUCUUCUUUCAAACUUGUCACACGGGGCUAAAAUUGGCAGCAUAUGCUGAUUUAGCCCCGGUCAUCCAUGGAACCACC
ensembl:snRNA U2 U2 spliceosomal RNA